CCUACGGGAGGCAGCAGUGGGGAAUAUUGGGCAAUGGGCGCAAGCCUGACCCAGCAACGCCGCGUGAAGGAAGAAGGCUUUCGGGUUGUAAACUUCUUUUGUCAGGGAAGAUGAACAGACUGUACCUGACGAAUAAGCCACGGCUAACUACGUGCCAGCAGCCGCGGUAAUACGUAGGUGGCAAGCGUUGUCCGGAUUUACUGGGUGUAAAGGGCGUGUAGGCGGGAUUGCAAGUCAGGCGUGAAAACCAGGGGCUCAACCUCUGGCCUGCGUUUGAAACUGUAGUUCUUGAGUACUGGAGAGGUUGACGGAAUUCCUAGUGUAGCGGUGAAAUGCGUAGAUAUUAGGAGGAACACCAGUGGCGAAGGCGGUCAACUGGACAGCAACUGACGCUGAGGCGCGAAAGCGUGGGGAGCAAACAGGA
rnacentral:rRNA from 1 species